GCCGCGGACGCCCCGGCUGCGGCUCCGCCUUUGUCGCAGCUGUCCCAGCCCUGCAGCUCCUGCGGUGCCGGAGCCGCUGCCCUCCGACCGUCCAGCUCGUCGUGCCGGAGGAGGAGCAGCAUCGCCGCGGCUCCAGGCACCGCCGGCAGCCUGUCCGACUUAAUAAACUAUAUUUUGGCUACGAGUUCAUGCUCUUCAACCAACAUGUCUUCUGGGGAAGCUAAUCGAUCAGGCAAUGAUACACAAGGACCUCCUCAGGACAGAAAUCAAUCCAAAAUUGACACCAUUGAAAAUUUGAGAAAGAAACUCCAGGCCCUUGAGAAAAAAAACUUGGAAUUAACCAGUCAACAUAGU